rnacentral:rRNA from 1 species
ACAGGGAUUGCCCUAGUAACGGCGAGUGAAGCGGCAACAGCUCAAAUUUGAAAAUCUGGCUCUUUCAGAGUCCGAGUUGUAAUUUGCAGAGGGCGCUUUGGCUUUGGCAGCGGUCCAAGUUCCUUGGAACAGGACGUCACAGAGGGUGAGAAUCCCGUACGUGGUCGCUAGCUAUUGCCGUGUAAAGCCCCUUCGACGAGUCGAGUUGUUUGGGAAUGCAGCUCUAAAUGGGAGGUAAAUUUCUUCUAAAGCUAAAUAUUGGCCAGAGACCGAUAGCGCACAAGUAGAGUGAUCGAAAGAUGAAAAGCACUUUGGAAAGAGAGUCAAACAGCACGUGAAAUUGUUGAAAGGGAAGCGCUUGCAGCCAGACUUGCUUGCAGUUGCUCAUCCGGGCUUUUGCCCGGUGCACUCUUCUGUAGGCAGGCCAGCAUCAGUUUGGGCGGUGGGAUAAAGGUCUCUGUCACGUACCUCUCUUCGGGGAGGCCUUAUAGGGGAGACGACAUACCACCAGCCUAGACUGAGGUCCGCGCAUCUGCUAGGAUGCUGGCGUAAUGGCUGUAAGCGGCCCGUCUUGAAACACGGACCAAGGAGUCUAACAUCUAUGCGAGUGUUUGGGUGUCAAGCCCGAGCGCGUAAUGAAAGUGAACGGAGGUGGGAACCCGCAAGGGUGCACCAUCGACCGAUCCUGAAGUUUACGGAAGGAUUUGAGUAAGAGCAUGGCUGUUGGGACCCGAAAGAUGGUGAACUAUGCUUGAAUAGGGUGAAGCCAGAGGAAACUCUGGUGGAGGCUCGCAGCGGUUCUGACGUGCAAAUCGAUCGUCAAAUUUGGGCAUAGGGGCGAAAGACUAAUC